UGGGGAAUUUUGGACAAUGGGCGCAAGCUUGAUCCAGCCAUGCCGCGUGCGGGAAGAAGGCCUUCGGGUUGUAAACUGCUUUUGUACGGAACGAAAAGCCCUUCUCUAAUACAGAGGGGUCAUGACGGUACCGUAAGAAUAAGCACCGGCUAACUACGUGCCAGCAGCCGCGGUAAUACGUAGGGUGCAAGCGUUAAUCGGAAUUACUGGGCGUAAAGCGUGCGCAGGCGGUUAUGCAAGACAGAGGUGAAAUCCCCGGGCUCAACCUGGGAACUGCCUUUGUGACUGCAUAGCUAGAGUACGGUAGAGGGGGAUGGAAUUCCGCGUGUAGCAGUGAAAUGCGUAGAUAUGCGGAGGAACACCGAUGGCGAAGGCAAUCCCCUGGACCUGUACUGACGCUCAUGCACGAAAGCGUGGGGAGCAAGCA
rnacentral:rRNA from 1 species